rnacentral:rRNA from 1 species
UGCCCGAAUCCUGACACAGGGAGGUAGUGACAAGAAAUAACAAUACAGGGCUACAUCUAGUCUUGUAAUUGGAAUGAGUACAAUUUACAUCUCUUCACGAGGAUCAAUUGGAGGGCAAGUCUGGUGCCAGCAGCCGCGGUAAUUCCAGCUCCAAUAGCGUAUAUUAAAGUUGUUGCAGUUAGAACGCUCGUAGUCGGAUUUCGGGGCGGGCCUGCCGGUCUGCCGAUGGGUAUGCACUGGUGGGCGCGUCCUUCCUUCCGGAGACCGUGCCUACUCUUAACUGAGCGGGGGCGGGAGACGGAUCGUUUACUUUGAAAAAAUCAGAGUGUUUCAAGCAGACUCGCGUCUUUGCAUGGAUUAGCAUGGGAUAAUGAAAUAGGACUUUGGUGCUAUUUUGUUGGUUUCGAACACCGAAGUAAUGAUUAAAAGGGACAGUCAGGGGC